ensembl:snRNA RNU6-119P RNA, U6 small nuclear 119, pseudogene
GUACUCACUUUGGCAGCACAUAUACUAAAAUUGGAAUGGUACAGAGAAGAUUAGCAUGGGGUCUGUGCAAGGAUGCCUCGCAAAUUCUUGAAGUGUUCAGUAGUUUC